ACAGAAGCUUACUUUAUAUGAAAACAGAGAUGUUCUCCUCUGGCAUAGCAGAAAGCAAGUUGCUUUGGAAAAAUAUGAAAGCAUAGAGCACUUCACAAAUCCAUAUUUUUUUCUGCCACCGUUCAAGAUAUUUUGCGAUGAGUUUCGUGCUUAAAUGGCAUAAAGAAUGAAGAGAGUGGGGACUGUUUUGGUUGCCGCUGUUCACGUUUGCCUGUUAAUCUAAUUACCAAGGGAUUUGGACAAGAAAAGGUUUAAAUUCAUUUGAAAGAAGAGUGUGUGAGAAGUCAGAGCAGCUAAAGCCCCCUCUGGGGCUCCCAGAGCUGUUUUCUGGAGUGAGCACGGUUGGAGCUGAAGGAAGGCCUGCUCUGUGCAAGAAGUUUAACUCUUCCUGGGAUGAAGCAACUCCUUCUGAGGCCCUUUCUCAGUACUUGCUCUGGGGGACUUAGCUCUUGGCUCAGGCGGUGGUGUCAGCUUCAGAGAAGGGACAGGCUGUCUGGCCCAAGCGAAAUAUCCCGUGGGUUCAGGUUCUGGUCCAAGGACAUCCAUAGUUUCAGAAAACAGAUAGGUUCAGUUUUGACUUACUCAGCUUCACUGGUAUUUCUGAAAAGCUUUUCAGGUCUGUUUGCCAUCCCAGAGAGAAACAAAGUAAUUUGGUUUACAAAACUUCAUGCCAUUCAUGACCUGUUUUGACUCAGCAUGUUUAUUUAAUAAGUACUUGCCUAGCACAGCCUGGUUCAGUAUGUGAUGGUGGGUGUGCCAGUGGGAUCAGUGUUAUUUUUUUAAAGAAACUUACAUUACAAAAACAGAAUGGAAGAAAGGGGGCUGAAGAUUCAUGAGUUUCAGAUUUUCAAUAUCAAAGUGAUUUUUCCUACAUACAUUUCAAAAAUAGAAAAGAAACUUUAAGUAUUGCUAUAAACAUUGCUUAGCAAAUCCAGCUUUGAUUACUUCCAGCCUUUGCUCAAGAAUAAAGAGCUCUCUUUUCAUAGGACUACAGAUACUAUCUUUAGUAUUUCUUACUCAUUCUUAUUACUUUUAUUCCCUCAUCAUCCAUUGUUGUGG